AUCAUAUACUAUAUUGGAUAGAAGAAGCUUUUUUCUGCAAUUAAGGAAAUUCUGUCAUAUAGGAAAAAUGCCCCCUUAAAAACCUGCCAUAUCUACAGCUCAACCCAGUCAAAAGCCCGAUCAAUACAUCGUUUGAAAGCCCAAUCGUUACACCCGUAUAAGGAAAAUAAAAAGCAUAAAAACCCAAAAAAAGGUUCAGGGAGGGAGACAUGUAACGCUGAAUUAUUAAACAGCGAGACGGGGAGAAAGAGAACGAUAGAAUGAGAGAUUCGGUCAAGCAUAGAGAGUGGAGAGAAGAAAAUCUGAGAAGACAGUCAGGCCUCUGCCAUCAGAUCCCGUAUCUUCCACCGAAUAGUGCAAAACAUUGAGCUACAGUCUACAAUGCACUAGCUUCCACCACAAGAGGAUGGAAAAAGCUCCAUUUUUUGUCCAACAAUAACCUAUCCUUGAUGCAAUUGUGUAAUAUUAUUUGCAAUACAAUAUAUGUUUUUGGGGGGUGUGGGGGGAAGCAAAGAUAAGUUAUUUCAUUA